GAAACGCGAUAGUUAAUGUGAAUUGCAGAAUUUAGUGAAUCAUCGAGUCUUUGAACGCACAUUGCGCCCAUUGGUAUUCCAUUGGGCAUGUCUGUUUGAGCGUCAGUACAACCUCUCAGCGCAAGCUGGUAUUGGACUUGUUAGGUGUUUUUUUUUAACCUAACCGGUUUUAAAGUUGUAAGCUCUGCUGACCGCUAAGCUCAACCCAAAACAUAGUAAACAACAUUCUUGCUUGUUUAAAGGUGAAGCUUGCAUGCCGGCCUGAAUAAAACCUUAUUUCUACGGUCUGACCACGCCGUAAAACCCCCAACUUCUCAAGGUUGACCUCGAAUCAGGUAGGAAUACCCGCUGAACUUAAGC
rnacentral:misc_RNA from 1 species